rnacentral:rRNA from 1 species
GACGAACGCUGGCGGCGUGCUUAACACAUGCAAGUCGAACGGAAAGGCCCUGCUUUUGUGGGGUGCUCGAGUGGCGAACGGGUGAGUAACACGUGAGUAACCUGCCCUUGACUUUGGGAUAACUUCAGGAAACUGGGGCUAAUACCGGAUAGGAGCUCCUGCUGCAUGGUGUGGGUUGGAAAGUUUCGGCGGUUGGGGAUGGACUCGCGGCUUAUCAGCUUGUUGGUGGGGUAGUGGCUUACCAAGGCUUCGACGGGUAGCCGACCUGAGAGGGUGACCGGCCACAUUGGGACUGAGAUACGGCCCAGACUCCUACGGGAGGCAGCAGUGGGGAAUAUUGCACAAUGGGCGGAAGCCUGAUGCAGCAACGCCGCGUGCGGGAUGACGGCCUUCGGGUUGUAAACCGCUUUCGCCUGUGACGAAGCGUGAGUGACGGUAAUGGGUAAAGAAGCACCGGCUAACUACGUG